rnacentral:rRNA from 1 species
GAUGCAGCAACGCCGCGUGAGGGACGACGGCCUUCGGGUUGUAAACCUCUUUUAGUAGGGAAGAAGCGAAAGUGACGGUACCUGCAGAAAAAGCACCGGCUAACUACGUGCCAGCAGCCGCGGUAAUACGUAGGGUGCAAGCGUUAUCCGGAAUUAUUGGGCGUAAAGAGCUCGUAGGCGGUUUGUCACGUCUGCUGUGAAAACUGGAGGCUCAACCUCCAGCCUGCAGUGGGUACGGUCAAACUAGAGUGCGGUAGGGGAGAUUGGAAUUCCUGGUGUAGCGGUGGAAUGCGCAGAUAUCAGGAGGAACACCGAUGGCGAAGGCAGAUCUCUGGGCCGUAACUGACGCUGAGGAGCGAAAGCAUGGGGAGCGAACAGGAUUAGAUACCCUGGUAGUCCAUGCCGUAAACGUUGGGCGCUAGAUGUGGGGACCAUUCCACGGUUUCCGUGUCGCAGCUAACGCAUUAAGCGCCCCGCCUGGGGAGUACGGCCGCAAGGCUAAAACUCAAAGGAAUUGACGGGGGCCCGCACAAGCGGCGGAGCAUGCGGAUUAAUUCGAUGCAACGCGAAGAACCUUACCAAGGCUUGACAUAUACGAGAACGCUGCAGAAAUGCAGAACUCUUUGGACACU